rnacentral:rRNA from 1 species
AUUGAACGCUGGCGGCAUGCCUUACACAUGCAAGUCGAACGGCAGCACGGGGGCAACCCUGGUGGCGAGUGGCGAACGGGUGAGUAAAGCAUCGGAACGUGCCCUGGAGUGGGGGAUAACGUAGCGAAAGUUACGCUAAUACCGCAUAUUCUGUGAGCAGGAAAGCAGGGGAUCGCAAGACCUUGCGCUCUGGGAGCGGCCGAUGUCGGAUUAGCUAGUUGGUGGGUAAAGGCCUACCAAGGCGACGAUCCGUAGCGGGUCUGAGAGGAUGAUCCGCCACACUGGGACUGAGACACGGCCCAGACUCCUACGGGAGGCAGCAGUGGGGAAUUUUGGACAAUGGGCGGAAGCCUGAUCCAGCCAUGCCGCGUGAGUGAAGAAGGCCUCGG